CUGAAAAGGUGUAUCUCACGACUCUAAAGAAAAGAGAUGUUUAAAUGCUAGUCUUAAAAAAGGCGACAUUGCCAAAUUGCGGGGAGGCCCUAAAGAUUCAACUACUAAGCAGUUUGUGGAAACACAGCUGUGGCCGAGUUAAUAGCCCUGGGUAUAGUAACAAUGUUGAAUAUGAAUCUUUUGCGAGAUGAAAUGGGUGAUCCGCAGCCAAGUCCUAAGGGCAUUUUGUCUAUGGAUGCAGUUCACAGACCAAAUGGCAAUGGGUAUCUGGAAAUAUGAUGCUUAAGAUAUGGUCGGGCUUCUUUCGAAAGAAUGAA
rfam:Pneumocystis murina B123 supercont1.7, whole genome shotgun sequence.